AUAGUAGAGAAGUAGGCGGUUUCGGACGCAGCCAUUGUGUAGCAGUGUGAAGUAUACCCUCGGUCGUUUAUUGGUUGAUGUCAGGUAAACGGUGAACCUAUCAGGACCGGAGUGUUAUGGUAGAAAAUGGGAGGGCAUUGGUUACCUGCGAUGCGUUGUCAUCCGUGCUGCCCCUUUACGGGAGUCCGCCAUUUAUGAAUGGAAGGAUGUUUGGUGUGCCGUCCCUGCUCCAUGCUGCUGCGCGUAUAAGCUGCACCCCAGUUUCAGUUUGUAGAUGAAUAGCUGCGCGCUAUGAUCAGCAACACGCAUAGUACUGCGCGGUGAACAUCUCCUGGUAUGUACGACAGAAGGCUGCUUGUUUGUUUUUAUGAUUUUAUUAGUAACUUUGCUAUUUCUGUUCGGCAGGUUGAUUUAAAUGCCCAAGGGUUUCAUCGCUGAAUUAUGCGACGGAAUGCAUGUCUAGUGAUGUAACGCACUGCUGCCUUGCCUGGGUUUCAAUUCUGUGUGUGUACGCGCGUGUGUGUAACUGCGGCCCGGAUUAUCGCUCGCCUUGGAGUGCACAUUAGAGUUGUGACGUUCGCGAACGAACCGAUUCUUUUGAACGGCUCAUAAACAUGAACGAUGGGAGCCGAGUCGCGGCUGGAGGGGAGCCGUUCUUUCUGUCGUUCUUUUUUCCUAUGCGUGUUUCACACAGAUGCACACAAAUGAGCUCCUCCGCGAGACAGAACAGUUAUAGGGGGAGGGGCGCACCCAGCGCAGGCCAACCCUU